GGGAUUGCCCUAGUAACGGCGAGUGAAGCGGCAACAGCUCAAAUUUGAAAGCUAGCCUUCGGGUUCGCAUUGUAAUUUGUAGAGGAUGAUUUGGGGAAGCCGCCUGUCUAAGUUCCUUGGAACAGGACGUCAUAGAGGGUGAGAAUCCCGUAUGUGACAGGAAAUGGCACCCUAUGUAAAUCUCCUUCGACGAGUCGAGUUGUUUGGGAAUGCAGCUCUAAAUGGGAGGUAAAUUUCUUCUAAAGCUAAAUAUUGGCGAGAGACCGAUAGCGCACAAGUAGAGUGAUCGAAAGAUGAAAAGCACUUUGGAAAGAGAGUUAAAAAGCACGUGAAAUUGUUGAAAGGGAAGCGCUUGCAAUCAGACUUGUUUAAACUGUUCGGCCGGUCUUCUGACCGGUUUACUCAGUUUGGACAGGCCAGCAUCAGUUUCGGCGGCCGGAUAAAGGCUCUGGGAAUGUGGCCUCCACUUCGGUGGAGGUGUUAUAGCCCAGGGUGUAAUACGGCCAGCCGGGACUGAGGUCCGCGCUUCGGCUAGGAUGCUGGCGUAAUGGUUGUAAGCGACCCGUCUUGAAACACGGACCAAGGAGUCUAACAUCUAUGCGAGUGUUCGGGUGUCAAACCCCUGCGCGUAAUGAAAGUGAACGGAGGUGGGAACCCGCAAGGGUGCACCAUCGACCGAUCCUGAUGUCUUCGGAUGGAUUUGAGUAAGAGCAUAGCUGUUGGGACCCGAAAGAUGGUGAACUAUGCCUGAAUAGGGUGAAGCCAGAGGAAACUCUGGUGGAGGCUCGCAGCGGUUCUGACGUGCAAAUCGAUCGUCAAAUUUGGGUAUAGGGGCGAAAGACC
rnacentral:rRNA from 1 species